rnacentral:rRNA from 1 species
UACGUAGGGGGCCAGCGUUGUUCGGAAUUACUGGGUGUAAAGGGUUCGUAGGCGGUGCGGCAAGUUGGGAGUGAAAUCUCUGGGCUCAACCCAGAGGCUGCUUCCAAAACUGCUGUGCUUGAGUGUGAGAGAGGCUCGUGGAAUUGCAGGUGUAGCGGUGAAAUGCGUAGAUAUCUGCAGGAACACCCGUGGCGAAAGCGGCGAGCUGGAUCACUACUGACGCUGAAGAACGAAAGCUAGGGGAGCAAACGGG